GGGACUGAAGCCCAGGUGGAGGAUACCUGCCUCGGAGGAUCUCCCCCCUGCACCGCUGUGGCUGCUGCCCAAGCCUCGCCCCAGAAGAAGACCAUUGUAGGAAAGAGGGCCACACUUCAAGAGAUGGUUGUCCGUUGCCACUUCCCAAGCUGAAGGACAAGAGCGAAACUUCGUCACCCAUGGCGUUCCAGCCCGGCCUUUCUGGAUUGUAAAGUCCUUCCAAGUCGCUGGAGGAAUCCAUGCUGCUUGGUGCCCUGCAUGUCUCCAGGGAUGCCACGCCUGAUGUCUGAAUGUGCCAGUCCCUGACGAGGAGAAUGGCAUCACUGGCAUUCUUUCAAUAAAGAAAUUGGAGGAAAUUGUUGCUUCCGAUAUGCCGAGGAUCAAAUAAUAUUUAUUAAUAAAUAUUGUUA